CGUGUAGGCGGCCAGGUAGGUCCGCUGUGAAAACCCGAGGCUCAACCUCGGGACGUCGGCGGAAACCAUCUGGCUAGAGUCCGGAAGAGGAGAGUGGAAUUCCCGGUGUAGCGGUGAAAUGCGCAGAUAUCGGGAAGAACACCCGUGGCGAAGGCGGCUCUCUGGGACGGUACUGACGCUGAGACGCGAAAGCGUGGGGAGCGAACA
rnacentral:rRNA from 1 species